UCCAAUGUGGUGUAGUGGCUAACAUUGCUGUCUUUCAUACCAGUGCUCGAUUGGCUGCACAGCAGCCCGGGGUUCGAUUCCCCGCAUUGGAA